AGAAAAGAGAAAGAAAAAAACAGAGAGAAAGAGAAAAUUGUGAAUGUUUCGGUUGGUUUUCCAACCUUCUGCUCCUUUUGCUUCUUCUUCUUCUUCUCUUCUUUCUGUCUCUGUUGUUCGAAAUCAGACAGGUCCUCUUCUUUCAAUGGAAGAAAUCGAACUUCGAAAAGCUGAAUUCAAGAAGAAAUCCUCUUCUUCUUCUUCCUCUUCUCUCAUUCCUUUUG
rnacentral:ribozyme from 13 species